UCUCAAUAUGAGAAAGACGUUUAUUUUUUUGUGAAAAAAAACAGAUGCGGAAGAUACCAAGGGAAAAGUAAAAUCACAAAAACACUAAACUCCGAAAAACAUUCAAAAAGGAAAGUCCAAUAUCAAAUAGCAAUAUCAAAAAGCUCAAACACAUCAAUCGGAUGGAUAACCAGUGUAAUAUUUCUGACUUGAAGUUUCAAGAUUCGAAAAGGACAGAAACUGGUGCCUUUCAGACAAGGAACGAAAUUUUUGAGAUCAAGAGGAUCGUUCACGAAAUAUUACUCCAUCACAGAAAGCAUACGAUCUUUACAUUUUUGUGUAUAAUUCAGCAGGACUGGGGUCUGAUUAGUUUCCAUCAUAAAUGACUGGUUUCUACAUAUACCUGAAUGGCACGACAACAGAAGUGUACCAAUAAAGGCAUGGAUGGGUAUUCUACUCCAUUUCAAAAUUGCUGAAAAUGCUUGAAGAAAGCAUGACAGCAUUACAAAUGCAGUGGGAGCAUUCACAAGACUGUUGGUUAACAACAAUAGAUCCAACAACUGAAACAAUUACCUUGAAGAAUAUAUAGAGGAUGUUAAAUAGAAAAAAAAAGAUUUAAAAGGUAGAAGAUUUCUUUACUGGGCCAGUUUAAAUUCCCAUACAGAAGAUCAGCUAACAUCUGAAAUACAUUUCAACAGUCGUUUACGGAGAUAUUGUACUGAAGUAAUUCUUGUAAAAAUCGUGAGUAAACUAGAAUCAUUGCAAGGAAACUUAUAGGAGUUCGGUAAGUAUAUUCAAUUGCACAGGUAGGUAUGGAUGCUUUAAUUUUUCCUUUUAUUUCAGAUAUGGGUAAGUUUUGAUCGCUUUCUUGUACUAACAUUGUCUGCUUAUAACACUAGUAUAAUGGAAUGCAAUUUAUUAUUAUAAAGAUAAAUAUGAAGGAAGGCAUGCACAUUUAGAAAUUCUAAAUUUAAAAGCGUUUUGUUAAGUUAUGGAAUAUCACAUGCAACUAUCUAAUGAGAACAGUGAUGUUAUUUUUUUCAUUGGCAUACCAGUUUUAAAUAAAUGGCACACUUUAAUGAAGGAUAUAUAUUUGUAAAAUUAUCGUUACUGGCGUAAUUACAGGUUGAUGGAAGAUAUCUUUAAAUGUGCAAACUUUAUUUCAUUAGCAAGGAAUGCAUAUUUUGUGUAUUUUUAUCUUUGAAAACUAAAAAGAUCGAUAUACAAACAAAUAACUUAAAAGUAAUUUUACCAAUUACGGAUUAGAUUUUGUAAUUACACACUUUAAGAUAUUGUGUGACCCUUUGACAAUUGCAUUAACGACUGGUUCUAGAUUUGACAAAAAUAGUAUACUUCUCAUGCAAAGCAAAGGUUUUGAUCUAAACAAAAGAUAACACAUAAUAUGCACAGAAAAAUUUGGGUUGAUUGCUAGCUGUUUAUAAAACUUAAGUCAUUACUAAGGAAAGCAUCUUAAAUUACAGGGUCAAUUGUGGAAUUAGCAAAUAGACUAUUGAUAGAUAUAUCUUUUAUUUUUUUCUUCUAAUCUUUAAAUUUAUUUGUUUUAAAUAUACAACACAAAAUAUGCAAUCCCUUUUGGCACUAAUCAUGCGCAAACCUCUUUGUUUGAUAGGUUUAAUUCAAGAAAGAGGUUUCUACCAAAUUAACAACUACAAAUGGGAACUUUAAAUUUAAUUAAUUUUGUAGGCUUCAAUUUACAAACCAAUUUUCAAAAAUUAAGUUAAUUUUUUUAUCAAACUUAGAAUAAAGUUCUCAUUUUAUAUAUAACACCGAUAUUACCUUGUACUGACAUUUCUUUUUCAGGUUUAAACGCAAUCAAAAUUUAUAUCUACAAAAUGAUAUUGAUGAGUUAAAAGCCAUAUCAAAAUAAAAUCGUUCGAAGCCAUUUUUAUUCUUUGACAUCCUUUAAGCUACAGAUAGGACAACGUAACUACUAUCUGAUGCUUCAACAUUGAACUAGACCAGGUUGUGGUUAAAAUCAAAAAUUAAACGCUUGUUUGAGACCAUUCGUACAUUUUGGACACCUCAUUUUAUUAGUUUAGCAUUCGGUUUUGUUUAUCUUUCGGAUCAAACGAAGCGAUUGACAAAUUGUCAUGACAAAACUUUCAGUUUAGAAGAAAAUUUUCC